rnacentral:rRNA from 1 species
GACGAACGCUGGCGGCGUGCUUAACACAUGCAAGUCGAACGGAAAGGCCCCUUUGGGGGUACUCGAGUGGCGAACGGGUGAGUAACACGUGAGUAACCUGCCCUUGACUUCGGGAUAACUUCAGGAAACUGGGGCUAAUACCGGAUAGGAAUCCUUGCUGCAUGGUGGGGGUUGGAAAGCUUCGGCGGUUUUGGAUGGACUCGCGGCUUAUCAGUUUGUUGGUGGGGUAGUGGCUUACCAAGGCUUUGACGGGUAGCCGGCCUGAGAGGGCGACCGGCCACAUUGGGACUGAGAUACGGCCCAGACUCCUACGGGAGGCAGCAGGGGGGAAUAUUGCACAAUGGGCGGAAGCCUGAUGCAGCAACGCCGCGUGCGGGAUGACGGCCUUCGGGUUGUAAACCGCUUUCAGCAGGGGCGAAGCUUGUGGUGACGGUACCUGCAGAAGAAGCACCGGCUAACUACGUG